rnacentral:rRNA from 1 species
CCUACGGGAGGCAGCAGUGGGGAAUAUUGGACAAUGGGCGAAAGCCUGAUCCAGCAAUGCCGCGUGAGUGAUGAAGGCCUUAGGGUUGUAAAGCUCUUUUACCAGGGAUGAUAAUGACAGUACCUGGAGAAUAAGCUCCGGCUAACUCCGUGCCAGCAGCCGCGGUAAUACGGAGGGAGCUAGCGUUGUUCGGAAUUACUGGGCGUAAAGCGUACGUAGGCGGUUAUUCAAGUCAGAGGUGAAAGCCUGGAGCUCAACUCCAGAACUGCCUUUGAAACUAGAUAGCUAGAAUCUUGGAGAGGUGAGUGGAAUUCCGAGUGUAGAGGUGAAAUUCGUAGAUAUUCGGAAGAACACCAGUGGCGAAGGCGACUCACUGGACAAGUAUUGACGCUGAGGUACGAAAGCGUGGGGAGCAAACAGGAUUAGAUACCCUGGUAGUCCACGCCGUAAACGAUGAUAACUAGCUGUUCGGGCUCUACGAGCUUGAGUGGCGCAGACUACGACAUUAAGUUAUCCGUCCGUCGGGAGGUACGGUCGCGAAGAAUUAAACUAACGAAAGAAAGUUAGUACGGCGUGAGACGUGCCGACGGACGACGACGAGGGAGGAGG